GGGAUACCACUUGGAAACAGGUGCUAAUACCGGAUAACAACAAUAGCUGCAUGGCUAUUGCUUAAAAGGCGGCGAAAGCUGUCGCUAAAGGAUGGACCCGCGGUGCAUUAGCUAGUUGGUAAGGUAAUGGCUUACCAAGGCGACGAUGCAUAGCCGAGUUGAGAGACUGAUCGGCCACAUUGGGACUGAGACACGGCCCAAACUCCUACGGGAGGCAGCAGUAGGGAAUCUUCCACAAUGGGCGAAAGCCUGAUGGAGCAACGCCGCGUGAGUGAAGAAGGUUUUCGGAUCGUAAAGCUCUGUUGUUGGUGAAGAAGGAUAGAGGUAGUAACUGGCCCCUAUUUGACGGUAAUCAACCAGAAAGUCACGGCUAACUACGUGCCAGCAGCCGCGGUAAUACGUAGGUGGCAAGCGUUGUCCGGAUUUAUUGGGCGUAAAGCGAGCGCAGGCGGAAAGAUAAGUCUGAUGUGAAAGCCCCCGGCUUAACCGAGGAAUUGCAUCGGAAACUGUGUUUCUUGAGUGCAGAAGAGGGGAGUGGAACUCCAUGUGUAGCGGUGGAAUGCGUAGAUAUAUGGAAGAACACCAGUGGCGAAGGCGGCUCUUUGGUCUGUAACUGACGCUGAGGCUCGAAAGCAUGGGUAGCGAACAGGAUUAGAUACCCUGGUAGUCCAUGCCGUAAACGAUGAGUGCUAAGUGUUGG
rnacentral:rRNA from 1 species